rnacentral:tRNA from 15 species
GCCCCCAUAGUGCUAGUGGUAACACAUAUCCUUGGUACGGAUAUAUCGUCAGUUCGAUUCUGACUGGGGGAUC